UGGCUCAGUUGGUAGAGCAUGGCGCCUGCAACGCCAAGGUUGUGGGUUCGACUCCCAC
rfam:Salmo salar isolate Sally breed double haploid chromosome ssa20, whole genome shotgun sequence.